UACGUAGGGGGCAAGCGUUGUCCGGAUUUAUUGGGCGUAAAGAGCGUGUAGGCGGCCAAGCAGGUCCGCUGUGAAAACUCGAGGCUCAACCUCGAGACGUCGGUGGAAACCGUUUGGCUAGAGUCCGGAAGAGGAGAGUGGAAUUCCCGGUGUAGCGGUGAAAUGCGCAGAUAUCAGGAAGAACACCCGUGGCGAAGGCGGCUCUCUGGGACGGUACUGACGCUGAGACGCGAAAGCGUGGGGAGCGAACAGG
rnacentral:rRNA from 1 species